GGGCUGAUCUUCUGCCUUGUCCCCACCUCAGCCUCCCUGUCCCAGUGUGGUGUGGCAGGCCCAAGCUGGUUCCUCAGUAUCCAUUUGGGCAAACACGUGGCUCAGCAGAUGGGAAGAGAGAUGUGGGCACCUGGGGAGAGAUGUGGAAUCAGCAUCAGGGAAGAAGGUUUGGAUUUUCCUGUUGUCCUCGAUAGAGUUCCUUACAUUUAGCCUGAAUCAAGAUUUACUGAGGUCAAUGGGAAUAUCUGUGUUGGGGUCAUGAACUCUUUGAAGGAUCAAAUCUUCGGUUUCUUCAUGCUGCUCGGAAGCCCAACAGUAUCAAGUCCAAGAUAAUAUCUCAAGCAUGUGAAGAUAGUUAAAACAAAGUAAGUAACGACUGUAGCCAAAUCGUAACUCAUUUUAGCAGAGCACUUUGUGAGUAACAGAACCCUACAAGAAUACUUGGGUGUGUCUGAGUCAACCAGUUCUGGAAAUCCUAUGAUGUGCAGCUGCAGAAACUACACAAAUUCUUGAAAAAUUGUCAACAAAACCUGAAACGACCCUAAGGGUUUUUAAUACAAAUUUGUCAAAAUUUCUUGAAAGUAAUGUUUCCUGAGUUAUAUACAAGCUCUGUCCUGCUUACUAAUAAAUCACAUUGCCCAGUAACUCAUGAUAAGCAGGCUAAAAGUGCUACAGUGACUACCUUGUUUACCUGAUCUUCUUAAGGCAACAUUAACCUUCUUUUUAGACUUGACAUUUAACAAAACAUUAUAAAUAUUAUAACCACUUGUGAAUAUGCAUACUCCGGACUGUAGAAAAUCAGGUUGGCAUUUAUUGUCAGGCUUCCAUCCAAAAACAUACGAGAUAAUUUGCAUUAUAUGGCUACUGGCACUACAGAGUGACAAGUUGGAAGAGGUAUUUUGAGAGCAGUUCCAGAAUUGCCUUAAACACUUGUUUGAAGUGAGAAAACAGAUGUGAUAUAAUGAUAGUUGUUUUGCUUUUAUUGUGAAAGAGAAUACAAGCUUGUGAUUACUGAUUGGAUAUGAAAUAAAACUUUAUGGCUGUAUGAACCGGACAUAGCAUGUCAGCAAUCAAACAGGAUGCCAGGGAAGCAUUGCAUAUUAGCUCUGUAAAAAGAAUCAAAGUACAGUUAAUCACAGUUUCUGACAAUACAAAAAUGAGAGGGUACUGAUUAAAAUGAUCAAAUUUAGAAUUAAAUCCACAACAAAGAGUCAGUGGCAGAACUUCAUUUCCGUAGGAUAUUGUGGAUACAAGAAGUAGAAAAGAUUCAUAAAAGGAUCAGAAAAAUGCAUUCAGGGAUAUUCAUGUAUGGAGACAGAGUGUGGUCGUCUGAAUUCUGGCUGCCAUAGAGGAAAUCUGCAAACGUCUAGUUGUUGGAAAUACUAAGACAUUAUCAGGUUAGGGCUUGCUCCAAACAGUGUAUUUUUACUUUUUUUUUUUUUUUUUUUUCAUAAGUAUUAACUUUUGGUGACCACAGAGAGAUUACAUUAGCACAGUAUAGACAUUUUGGCUUCCUUGAUGCGUGCCUAUAAAGUGAACUCGUAUGUCAUUUUUUGACAAUAUGCUGACAUCUUUUUCUACUUUUUUCUUCACUCAUUUAUUCUUCUCUGCCUUUUGGAUGGAAAAUCCCUCCCGCAUGGGCCAGGUUAUACUGGAUAUCUCAUACAGAAAAGUAUCCUAUUUCAUACAUAACUUACUCAUGUUGCUGAAGCAUGAAGUUCAGCGUCCAGGAAUGAAGGGGGAAGAUGAUUGAACCUACAUGAUAUGAGGCUCUUAACACAUUUUUGAAUGCACUUUGAGAAGCCCUUGUGAUUAUAUAACAGUUCUCAAGAGGAAGCUGCUAACAAGCCCAUCUGAUAUUUUGUGCCAGCUGUUUCAGUGGAGGCGUGUUGGACUGGAGUGAACUCCGCCUUCUUUGACAAGCGAAGCAUUUGAAAAGUGACAGAGCCUGAAGAAAAAGAGAACUCAAAAUCUGGUGCUGAAUUUUCUCCUGGACCAGUCUGUUCUUCUGUAUCCAUGAACAAAACAAAACUCCAGUUCUGCAAGAAAUAUAGAAGUGAAAUACUGGGAACAGAAUGAAUGGCCAAAGGAUAUUGAGAUUAAAAAAAAAAACAACAAAGACAGGAGAGCAGUUAGAAGGUAGCUAAAUCAUUUCCACAUAGGAAAUGAUUUCCAUACGUCACAGAAGAAUCUUUGAAGGGAGACAGGGGAAAAUUGAUCCUUUGAGAAAUAUAAAAAUAUACUAAAAAAACUAUAAGAAGAUGUUCCACAAGAAAGAAGCAUAUUUUGGAAAGACCUAUGACCAACUCCUGUGUGAAGAGAUUAAGGAUCCUGACCUGUUUCUAGAACUCUUAUUAAAAACAAGAAUUGCAAGAAAAGCACUAGUGAUUCCUGCCUUCUGCACACAGUUUUACUGCAGUGCAUGUCUUCCUCCACAUGAGGACAAUCUUCUAAGAAUGGUGGUGAAACAUAAAGAAUUGUAACCUGUUUCAGAGAUUUUCUCUAUGAUGAACUGUUAAAAGAGGUGAGGUACCCAGAAAUAAAGUGGGAAAAAAAAGAAGCAACUGACCAAUAAUCUACCCAGAAAACUGAAAAUUCUUGAAAGUGGCGUGUAUGUAGUUCUUAACACAGCUGCUUGCUGGAGUGUGUGCUUUGUGUGGGGGAUCUAUCAGCAGCCUGGCUACCUCUGUGUGAUCUCGGAAGUCAAAGUGAUGGAGUUGAAUGAAAACAUGAAUUGUGAGAAUUAUUCUGUAACGAUUAUAGUUUCUUCAUCUAUUAUCCCACUGUGAAGAAUUCUGAGCCAGCUGCUUGACAUCAUCUCAGGACUGAUCACCUUCAGUACUGGAAGCUACCCUGAAAUACGGCUUCUGAGAUUUUCUGGUCCAGUCAAGCCUUUGGCAAGGAUAAGUAUUCGCGUUUUAUUCUCCUUCUCCUCUCUCCAGUUCUUAUCUGCAUAGAUUGCACCAUCUGGGUUCUGUAUUUGUGUUAGUACCAUGUCUACUGAUUAGUAGUUAAUAGUUGGUGUAUUUUUCCUCAGUCAUACACUUAAGGAGUGCAUGAGGGUAAUUUGUAUUUCUGCUCUUCCACGUAAGUGCAGAAAAUACUAUACUAUUCUUAAGAUAACAGAGCUGAAUGUGCUAAAACAACUUGCGAAACAGCUCUUUAACAGAAAUGAUUCUCAAACAUAGUUCCAAAGUCCUUGUCUCUAAAUGGUGUAGAUUUCCUCCGAGUCUUCCUCCAAGUGAGAAAUCUUCUGGUUUGUCAGUGUGACAGACCUAUUUAAUAACAAAAGCCACUGGAAAUAAACAUCGUGUAUUUUAUUGGCAUUUCUACACAUUGAACUGUAGGGGGAGGUAAGGUCAGAUGUUGAGUAUACAAGGCAACAAUUGACAAAAUAAUGUACAGCAUUUGUUUGGUGUCCAGCCAAGGAUUUGCAGUGCUGUUAAAAUGGUAAAGUACAUAGCAAAUAUUUGAUGUGCCAAACCACAGAAGACGGUUGAUGAUGGUUAUGGAGUGGAAGAGAAUCACUAAGUAGUCCCUGUAGUGUAUUUACUAUACUGUACAUUUUGCACAUGCUAUUUAUUAUACUGCUAGUAAUAUAUUUGUAGUUCUUUUUUUCCCAUAAUAUAUUAUCAUGAGCAGAGACCCAGCAGGAGAGCUUUACUUAUUGUGAAAUAAUAGUUAUGCUUCUUGCUGUCCCCUUUGUUCUAUAAAAACCAAGUUGGCAUUCUCAGGAAGGAACUUUGCAGAAGUGUUUUAUUACCAUAUAGAAAGCUAUUCUGGAAAUAAAAUUAGAUGUAAGAAUAUAUAAGAAAACAACUAAGAUAACAAACUCAAAAACAAACCCAAUCACACCUGUAAAGCAAAAAGAAUUGUGGUAAUGAGGAAGACAGAGAAAGCUGAUGUUUUGAACUUCUCCUGUCCUCCAUUUUAUUCGCUAUUUUUCUAUUAAUUUUACCACUAUCACUGUACCUCUUUGUUUUGUUUUGCCUUUUCUCCUCUCUGCUCUGAUAAAAAUGUGGUCUUGCAGCCACGCAACUCACUCACUGUGAGCAAUGCAGCUGUAAAAAUCAGCACUCAGCAUCUGCAGUCACCUCUGGUGGUGGGAAUGGGACUUUUCUGUUGAUGUCCAAGCUACACACUGCAUCACUGUGGUGUGAAAACAUCCACAGUGGAUGGUUUCCUUGAAAGAAAGAGGUUUCCUUGGAGUCUGCCACUGUGUUUUGCAGUCUGGCUCUGUCAGGUAUUUAGGACAGAGUUGGCUUGCAUUUGUUUUGUACGUGUGCAUUUGUUUUGUGGUGUAGGAGCUUGCUGUAUAAUAUUGACACUCCAUUUUGAAACUGCAUGAGAAAUCCUGAGUUUUAAAUGUUUUUCUCCUGUAAUCUAGCCUGGAUGAUUCCCUAGGUUCUUCUCUGUUUUCACCUGUACUGCUAGACCUCAGCAGUUCAACUGAAUUCAAUUAUGGGAGAGCAUAAUGAGUUUUUAAUGUUGCACUUAAAAAAAUUAAAACAGGAAAAAAGAAGUCUGUCUGAACAUGCCCAGUACAAGUUAUUACAGAGAUAUCUGUGGUUUAAAUGUGGACCAGUUUUCAGAACAGAAAUAGCCUUCAAGACUGAGACUUCAGUCCUUCGAAUACUUGGGGUGAUAUUUCGGGCUUGUGAAUGUCCUGCUUGAGGUGGGACUCUCCUUUGCUUAAUGUUAAACAUGUGCUUAAGUGUUUGUCAGACUGAAGUCUGCAACUUUCUUCUCAAGACAUCUAUGAUUUACUGUGUGCAUUUGCUAAGCAACUUUAAACAAUGCACCUUUAUUCUGUUUACAGCAGCUAUGGAUCCAUUUCUCUGUUUUUGUGGAAAUCCGUGUUUGGCAUUUUCAAGGGUGCCUGAGCCAAGCUCAAACCUCAGUGUUUGGAUAUGGGGUGAUGGUAGACACAUGUCUUGUCAGUUCCAUGGUUUUGUUAUUUUAUAAAUGUAUUUGAUUAUACACUGGGCUUAUAUAAUGAAAACAAAGCUUUCAUUAGUCUGGAUUGGGAGGGGCUGUGGUUGAAAUGAGGGGAGAGGAAUGACAGAAAAGAAUCAUGGGGAGGGAGGCAGGGCAGGAUGAAGGAAGACAAACAACCUGUGAUGCUACAGCAAGUGAGGGGAAAAAAAAUCUGAAUAGAGCAUUUGAGAGAUGAAUGAUAAGAGCUGGCUCCUUCCCAGCUCCUUUGCAGAAGUCAAGAAGUGGACUAGUGAUCCAAAUGUGUUCCUGAGUCUGGACUGCAGGUACAUUUCUGCCUUUCUGUGAGAAUGGCUAAUGUCAGCAAAAGGAGCUACGAAUCUGGGAACUCCAGGAUUUAACACUGUGAAGGCUCCUUCCCUCUCACAGUUGUAGUUUCCCAGGUGCUUAGAAGGAGGAUACCUGAUUCCUGCCAUGGGUGGUUGCUGGAUAUUUAGGCACCAAAUGAAUGGGCACCAGAGGGAUCAAGCUCGAUGGAAAAUGGUGGUCCCCCCAAAACCACAUUUUAAAAUGAAUUAAAAUUAAUUGGUUUUAUUACUUUGUUUUUAUAAAUUGUAUAGCAUUCAGCAUUAUGGGAUCUGAUCAACUGAGAAGAAGAGAUGAACAAAGACUAUCUGUAUUCCUCUUUGCUAAGGACGUAUUUCCCUAAACAGAAAUUCAAACACUGGGUAAUGAAGACACUUGGAUCUCAGGCAGUCUGGGACAGAGUAAUUUACCAGUCAUAUUCAUCCUAAAUCUUCCUUAUAGGAUUUCUUCACAGGUUAGGGGAAAUAAGGAGCUGAAGCAAAGUGCAGAUCAUUUAUGGGGAUGCGGAGAGCACAUUUAUGGGGAUGUGGGCAGGAGUUUUUGUGAGUGUGAAAAGGCAAAGAACAUAAACUGUAGGGAAAACAUCUCUCUCCUGAAGAUGAAUAGUUAGAUUCUCAAUUGAUGUACAUCUCUGUAACUUUGGCAUCAGAGAAGCUAUGCUGAUUUACACCAGCUGAAAAAUUUGGAAGGGAACAAUGCACUUUUUGUUUAAUUUUUAUGUGCUCUUCAGACCAUCCGUCAUAUCCAGUUGGAGAGGAAUAGCAUUUGGUAGAUGUUUAGUCUUGACUUUUUUUUUUCCUGAAAUAGGAAGUGAAUUAAAUGACAGAAUAAGACAGUUUUAUUAUUAGCACUAACUGAAGAAUCUGAAAAAAAAAAAAAAAAUUGAAAAAGAAUUUGUCAAAUAAUGUAUCUGACAUCACAGUAAGAUAUGGGCAAAUACAUUAAUUCUUAUAAAAACUCUUUAAUAGAAAUUUAGAGAAGUCAUGCUGGAUAUGACUAGAUUUACAGCAUUGGCUGUAUAAAAUAUUCUGGCUAAUCCAUCUUUUUCAUGGUAUCUUUCACAUGGACUCUAUCUGCUGCUUUAUCAUUUGCUGGUAACAAGUACUAACAUUUAAUCAGAAGAUCCAAGAUGCAUGGAUUGUCAUUUCUGUUUUAGGUACUAAAAUGGAAUUUGGACUACUGUCUGCUUUACCUGCUCAAUUUGUUUUGUUGUAGUGGUUGAAAUCAUGUGCUAGUACUGUUUUGUAGCCCUUACAAAUGUCUCAGUCUGAAUAUAUGUGGUUGAGCGGUGGCUUGCUCAGAGAUGAAAGUGUUGUGCUGAAGGAAUAGAUAUGAUCUAUGGACUGAUGUCCAGGCUCACCCAGAAUCACUCGGAAUCACAGGGGUUGGAAGGGACUUCAAGCGAUCAUUGAGUCUUCCGCUAAAGCAGGUAUCUGCAUAGGUAGGCAUCCUGGUAGGCAUACUGGAUGUUGUGUUGAGAGACAUGGUUUAGUGGGAGCUAUUGGUAAUAGGUGAACAGUUGGACUG